UACGUAGGGUGCGAGCGUUAAUCGGAAUUACUGGGCGUAAAGUGUGCGCAGGCGGCCAUGCAAGUCGAGUGUGAAAGCCCCGGGCUUAACUUGGGAAUUGCGCUCGAAACUACGUGGCUGGAGUGUGGCAGAGGAGACUGGAAUUCCUGGUGUAGCAGUGAAAUGCGUAGAGUAUCAGGAGGAAUACCGAUGGCGAAGGCAGGUCUCUGGGCCAUAACUGACGCUGAGAAGCGAAAGCAUGGGGAGCGAACAGG
rnacentral:rRNA from 1 species